UGGAGGAGUCAGAAAUGCAAGUACAAUUGUCACAUGAAACUUGAAAACUGCACCAUUCCUUCACAACUUUAACACCCUCACUGCUUCACUCUCUUUUCAUCCAACAAAUUCCAAACCCCAAACAAACCAACCAAAGAAAGAUGCCUCUCGGAACCCUUGAAGUCCUUCUUGUUGAAGCCAAAGGCCUCAAGAACAAAGAUUUUCUCUCAGUUAAUAAGAUGGAUCCCUAUGUUAUUUUCACUGUGAAGACCCAAGAGAAGAAAAGCACUGUGGCUAAAGGGAAAGGAUCUGACCCCGAAUGGAAUGAAAGUUUUUUGUUCACAGUUACGGAUGAUGUUUCUGAGCUUCGUUUGAAAAUAAUGGACAAAGAUACCUUUACCAAGGAUGACUUUGUUGGCGAAGCAAUCGUUCCUUUGGAGCCAUUGUUCGCUGAUGGAAGGCUUCCUCCGACUGCAUACAAUGUUGUCAACAAGGACCAGGAAUAUCGCGGGGAGAUCAUAAUUGGACUUACUUUCACUCCUGAGCCUCAGAGAAGUAGCUUCUAGAAGAUAUGCUGAGGAGAGCUAUGGUGGAUGGAAAGAAUUAUCUUUCUAGGAAUGACCCUGUGAUUUAAAAUGCAAUGUAUGAUGCUCAUUUAGCUGCUAGGUAUUGAAAUAAAGAGCAUUAAUCAUGUUGAGGUUCCCUUUUGGUGUACUUUUGCGUUUAGACUGAUAUUUAUGUGCUUCAACUUAUUUGGCGGAAUCGAAUAUUCAGUUAAUUUUA